AACGAACGCUGGCGGCAUGCCUAACACAUGCAAGUCGAACGAGACCUUCGGGUCUAGUGGCGCACGGGUGCGUAACGCGUGGGAACCUGCCCUUAGGUUCGGAAUAACUCCCCGAAAGGGGUGCUAAUACCGGAUAAUGUCUUCGGACCAAAGAUUUAUCGCCUUUGGAUGGGCCCGCGUUGGAUUAGCUAGUUGGUAGGGUAAAAGCCUACCACGGCGACGAUACGUAACUGGUCAGAGAGGCUGAUCAGCGACACUGGGACUGGGACACGGCCCGGACUCCUACGGGAGGCAGCAGUGGGGAAUAUUGGACAAUCGGCGAUAGCCUGAUCCAGCAAUGCCGCGUGAGUGAUGAAGGCCUUAGGGUUGUAAAGCUCUUUUACCCGGGAUGAUAAUGACAGUACCGGGAGAAUAAGCUCCGGCUAACUCCGUG
rnacentral:rRNA from 1 species